GACGAACGCUGGCGGCGUGCUUAACACAUGCAAGUCGAACGAAGUGGCGAACGGGUGAGUAGCGCGGGAACCACCUGCCCUUCAGAGGGGGACAACAGUUGGAAACGACUGCUAAUACCGCAUGCUGCAGGAGGUGAUUGCGUCUGAUUAGCGAGUUGGCGGGGUAACGGCCCACCAAGGCGAGGAUCAGUAGCCGGUCUGAGAGGAGGAACGGCCACACUGGGACGGAGACACGGCCCAGACUCCUACGGGAGGCAGCAGUGGGGAAUCUUCCGCAAUGGACGAAAGUCUGACGGAGCAACGCCGCGUGAGUGAUGAAGGCCUUCGGGUUGUAAAGCUCUGUUAAUCGGGACGCGGUACCGGAAUAGAAAGCCACGGCUAACUACGUGCCAGCAGCCGCGGUAAUAC
rnacentral:rRNA from 1 species